rnacentral:rRNA from 1 species
UUCGGGGAUCUUGCGCAAUGGGCGAAAGCCUGACGCAGCAACGCCGCGUGGGGGACGAAGGCCUUCGGGUUGUAAACCCCUUUCAGCAGGGACGAUUAUGACGGUACCUGCAGAAGAAGCCCCGGCCGACUACGUGCCAGCAGCCGCGGUAAUACGUAGGGGCGAGCGUUGUCCGGAUUUAUUGGGCGUAAAGAGCUCGUAGGCGGUUUGGCAAGUCGGGUGUGAAAACUCCGGGCUCAACUCGGAGACGCCACUCGAUACUGCCAUGACUCGAGUCCGGUAGGGGAGUGCGGAAUUCCUGGUGUAGCGGUGAAAUGCGCAGAUAUCAGGAGGAACACCGGUGGCGAAGGCGGCACUCUGGGCCGGUACUGACGCUGAGGAGCGAAAGCGUGGGGAGCGAACAGGAUUAGAUACCCUGGUAGUCCACGCCGUAAACGUUGGGCACUAGGUGUGGGGCUCGAUCGACGGGUUCCGUGCCGUAGCUAACGCAUUAAGUGCCCCGCCUGGGAAGUACGGCCGCAAGGCUAAAACUCAAAUGAAUUGACGGA